rnacentral:rRNA from 1 species
GAUGAACGCUGGCGGCGUGCCUAAUACAUGCAAGUCGAGCGAACAGACGAGGAGCUUGCUCCUCUGACGUUAGCGGCGGACGGGUGAGUAACACGUGGAUAACCUACCUAUAAGACUGGGAUAACUUCGGGAAACCGGAGCUAAUACCGGAUAAUAUAUUGAACCGCAUGGUUCAAUAGUGAAAGACGGUUUUGCUGUCACUUAUAGAUGGAUCCGCGCCGCAUUAGCUAGUUGGUAAGGUAACGGCUUACCAAGGCAACGAUGCGUAGCCGACCUGAGAGAGGGAUAGGCCACACGGGAACUGGGACAGGGUCAAGACGACUAAGGGAGGCAGCAGUAGGGAAUGUGCCGCAAUGGGCGAAAGCCUGACGGAGCAACGCCGAGUGAGUGAUGAAGGUCUUCGGAUCGUAAAACUCUGUUAUUAGGGAAGAACAAAUGUGUAAGUAACUAUGCACGUCUUGACGGUACCUGAUCAGAAAGCCACGGCUAACUACGUG